AAAAGUAAAAAAAAUAUCUAAAUGUACAUUGAAAACCCCAACAUACCGAGAGAAAAGAAGACGAUGAUUAUGUAUAAAAAUCGAUCUAAAACACGCAACUUCAGUUAAUAUUCUCGGGUCAGGCGCAUGUGGAGAAGUUGACUUUUCAUCAAACAAACACCAAUUUCUUAGAUUUAGACAAAUCUCAAUCUCAUACUUAAACCAGGUUAGUUUUCCUGAUGCUAUGUCAAACUCGUUUAUAUACUCAACUUCUAGGGGUUGAGUACAAUUAGGCUUUUUCAAUGUGGACAAUUGGAAAGUUGAACUCUGAAAUUGGUUGGAGCCCUAAUUGAAAGGGACUCUCCAAAAAUAGGCGUAUGCCACUUAAUGCAGCGAACACACGGUAUUCUUUAGUAAAAGGCGAAAGAAUAGUUCGCUUUGUGUUCACUGCGUAGCUGCGUGCCUUCUCACAUCCCAGCUGCUUGGUUUAUGUAAUGAGUUUGAUACCUUCUGUUUCAUUCAAGUAGCCGAUGUGGGAUGAGCCCCAUACUUGCAUCCCUCUGUUUUCAGAUUUCAGCAUUUCAUACUAUUCAAAACAAGAUGAUUCGUGAUCUUUUUGACGUUUAUUUCAACCAACAUGAGUUCCUUUCUUGUACUUGGAACUAUUGAAGAUUUGAACACUGAAAAUUGGUUGGAGCCCACCAAUGAAGGAAGGGACUCUCCAAAAAUAGGCUUAUGCCACUGUGUAUGGCAAGCACACGGUAUUCUUUAGUAAAAGGCGAAAGAAUAGUUCGCUUUGUGCUUACCACAUGGCUGCGUGCCUUUCCUUCUCUCAGCUGCUUGCUUUAAGUAACGACUCUCACACCUUCUCUCUCAUUCCAGCAGCCGAUGUGGGAUGACCCUUAAACCUGCAUCCCUCUCUUUCAAACCCUACUUCCACUUUUCUCUUCUUUCCCUCUUUACUUACCAGAUGAUCAGUAACACCUUUUUUUACUUUAUCUCAAACAACAUGAGUUCCUUUCUUCUACUUCUCAAGUUAGUGUAUUGAUAAAAAUGUGAAUCAAGGAGGUUAGAUACUUAUCAAUUCAUACAGUAGGGAGUUGCUUGGGCACAAAAAUGUGUUUUUGAGCUCCCCAAGCACUAAUGGUUGGCUCAAUUUUACAAGGUUUUCUGGGAAGAUUAUUACUGCACUAGGCGAAUGCCCGUGCGUUGCGCAGAAACACCUAUAUAGUUGAAGUCUUUACAAAUAUAUCAUUUUUUGUAUAUAACAAUAACGUUGUUGUUAAAUUUGAUAUAAUAAUUUGUAUAUGCUAAAUUGAUAUAAUAUAUUGAUUAUUUUGAAUUA